UACAGAGGUCUCAAGCGUUGUUCGGAUUCAUUGGGCGUAAAGGGUGCGUAGGCGGCGCGGUAAGUCGGGUGUGAAAUCUCGGGGCCUAACUCCGAAACUGCAUUCGAUACUGCCGUGCUUGAGGACUGGAGAGGAGACUGGAAUUUACGGUGUAGCGGUGAAAUGCGUAGAUAUCGUAAGGAAGACCAGUGGCGAAGGCGGGUCUCUGGACAGUUCCUGACGCUGAGGCACGAAGGUCAGGGGAGCAAACGGG
rnacentral:rRNA from 1 species